AUUGAACGCUGGCGGCAGGCCUAACACAUGCAAGUCGAACGAGUGGCGGACGGGUGAGUAAUGUCUGGGAAACUGCCCGAUGGAGGGGGAUAACUACUGGAAAAGGUAGCUAAUACCGCAUACCAUCGGAUGUGCCCAGAUGGGAUGAGCUAGUAGGUGGGGUAACGGCUCGCCUAGGCGACGAUCCCUAGCUGGUCUGAGAGGAUGACCAGCCAACCUGGAACUGAGACCCGGUCCAGAAUCCUGCGGGAGGCAGCAGUGGGGAAUAUUGCACAAUGGGCGCAAGCCUGAUGCAGACAUGCCGGGUGUAUGAAGAAGGCCUUCGGGUUGUAAAGUACUUUCAGCGAGGAGGCGUUACUCGCAGAAGAAGCACCGGCUAACUCCGUGCCAGCAGCCGGGGUAAUAC
rnacentral:rRNA from 1 species